GAGACCAUGCCGUAAGCAGAGAGAGAAGGGAGGGAGAGGGAGGGAGGGAGAGAGAGGCCGCUGAUUCUGACGACAUGUAAAUUGGAGCCGGCGAGAACGGCGGCGAAGAAGCUGAACUCGACCCAGAGCUGGGUUUCUGAAAAACGAGAAAGGUGCAAAAUGAGGAGGGAAUCAUCACUGAGCUCUACAUCCUGGGAAAAUGUUCAGAGACGAACAAGUGAUCACCAAGAAGACAUGAUAAAGGAUGGAGGGAAUGAAGUAUUGUUUAAUGACCAAAUGACAGAGCGGAGAACAACAUGGAGUGGGUCUGAUUCUCAUACCCUGCCACAUGCUCAAACACAUCAAAGAAGAAGUUAUCAACUUGAAUGAAUAAUUUAGCCAUUUGAAAAGUUUGGUAAUUAAUGUGACAUGGUGAUCAUAUUCGAUUUGUGUUUGUUAUGAGACAGUGAAGCUUUCUAUAUGUUUAUACCCGCAACACCAGCUCACGAACAAUCCCCGCCCCUUCUUCCAGCUGCUUGACUUAAUUUUGAACGAAAAAGCUCCUCCAGGAAUCAAUUUUCUCCCCUUCUUCCUUGCUGCUCGACAAAGGAAGGACAGUGUUUGGUGCCAUUUUCAGGGAUUUGAGCCGUAUUUCUAUAUCAACUAUUCCCUCAAAAUCGCGCGACGAUAUAUCUAGGUUUCAUCGAAUUCUUGAGGCACUAUUUAUAAGUCUCCUCUUACCGUUUUUGUCAAAAUUAUGGGGAAUUCCAUUUCGUUAGCUGCCAAACUAUGUUAAAGAUGGUGUAGCUUGCUGUCUAAACAUGGGUACCUUAUCAACUGCCGUGGUUAAUGACAAAGGAAACAAUUAUUGGGAAAAAGAAUUGCCAUCAAAUUUUGACAGAAGUGGGACUGAGAAAUUUAUUCGUGCCAAGUAUGAGGGAAGGCUGGGUUGCGAAAAAUGCAAAACAACCAGCUCCUAAACCAGUAGAUAUGAGCAUCAAUUCCAACAAUUUGGUAAAGGAUGGAGCCAGAGGAAGCGAUGCUUUUUACGGUGGCGGAAGCCUCACCUCCUAUGGCAAGAUCCCGUGGGGUAGAUUUUAACUGUUGCAAAAUAAUGGUCAGUUGGUGGGACGAUAUGGACUUCACCAAGGGACAUGGAAAGGAGACAUGUUACUUUUCAGCAUCCGACAACACUUACAUAGCAUUUGGUGUACACUUCACUUUUGAAACCCAAUCAGAAUUAUGGCCUGGUCAGUAUUGAGGAUCCGGUAAUUCCAGGUCUCUCUUUUCUCUCUUUUGUCUCUUUCCCCCUCCCUAUAUGUAGUUUAAUAUAAUUGAACAGCUCUAUUUAAUUUAAGAUUUAGUUGGAAGUGUUUGAGAUUUAAUUAAGUGAUAGUUUGGUUUCAUAGAUCAAUAGUAGAAAAGAAAUGUAAGAUUCAAAUAGUGGAGAAAGAAAGGCCUUUUACGAUUUUAGAAGAUGUGGUCCAUGAAGAUGAUUCACUGGAUAUGAGCAUUGUGAUUUGUGGGUUUUCAUAUUUGAAUUAGUUCUAUUAUGUUUGCAAUGCGAGUUCCUGUAAUGGUUUGGUUCUUCUUGGACCCUGCAAUGAAAGAAGGUUAUUGAAAAUCUUUUAGUAAGUUUGGGGUGUUCGUAAUUACUAAAAUUUGUUGCAAGAAAUUGGAGGAUGACUUUGGUUUCAGGGGAAUGUUAUCAUUUUUUAUUUUUAUGCUGCACAGAAAAGAAAAAAAAAACAAUGCAUUGGUGCAAGUAUGUGUUUUUUUAUCAUUUAUUUAUGUAGUGUGAAAGUCAAUUGUGUUUUUGUUGCUGCAAUUGGGUUGCACUUACUCUUGGUCUACCGCCAGCAUUGGUCUUCAAUUCACCAUUAAAUGCGGAAGAGGAAGUCCACCCUGCUAUACGGUUAGAGCGUUAGAGGUGAAUGGUUUUUGUUUUCUUUGAACAAAUUUUUUGGAAACAAUAUUAUUUGAACUUUUUAUAUUCUGACAAAGCAAGUGAAGUCAAGACUUAGUGAUUUUGAUGCAUAUUGGGUUUAUGCAUAUUUUAUUAGUGAUUUUGAUGCCUCCAACCUUAUGUCAACGUAUCAAUUUUGACAUUUUAUUCAGUUUCCUCUGGUAAUUGUACUUAAUUAAUAGAAUUUAGAUGUUUUCAUUCUCGAUUCAUUUAGUUAGUGAAGGUAUUAAUCUUCUGCAGAUUACGACUUACAUUUUGUUGUUCAUCGGUUUUAACACACCUUGAUCAGUGGCUGCCAAGCUUGCUUGAAAGGGUUUGGCAUUUUAAUUAGCUUGGAUCUUUGGAAAUCACGUUUUAUACACUAGUAUUCCGAAUAUAUUGUAAUUUAUUUCAUUUCUGUUAUUUUUUUAGGCAAGUGAACACCUAUGUACAGAUAUGAUUACUCAAUUUCCAGAAUAUACCAGGCCUUUUCUUAGGCUACUUGAAACUGAGCAGAGGCUAAACUACCUCCAAUUUGUUCAAGAGGCUUCAACUCAUGCCGCAGUUUACUUCACAAAGCUCUACGGUUAGCUUCCAUUCAAAGUUAACUUCUUUGAGUCUCUCUAAUUGUUUGUUGCAAGGUACAUUUCCCAAAGAGAUCUUUCAGGUACCCAACCGGCAAAUUAUUGACCUUUCAUUUAAUGAAGAACUCAAUGGUUCUUUGCAGGAAUUACCAAACAAUGGAUCUCUUCGGUCCUUAGAUCUAAAAGUCACAAAGUUUUCAGGAUCAUUGCUGAGCUCUAUUGAAAACCUUAAGCUUUUGGAGACAAUUGAUCUUUCAUACUGUAGUUUCACUAGAUCAAUUCCAAAAUCAAUGGAGAACCUAACAUAAUUGGUUUUUUUGGACAUGUCCUCAAACUUGUUCAAUGGUCCAAUUAGUUCUAUACACUGGGAAAACUUUAUUAAUCUAGUUGUGCUUGAUUUGGCCGACAAUUUACUCGAA